ncrna:unclassified sequences throat-1 RNA
GCCCUCGCCAAUAGGGCUAUACAAAUAGAAAACGAUUGUAAAGUUUCGUCUACGGUCUCGUAAUGCCGCCGCAAUAAAAGGACGGGGAUUAAUACUAUGUGCCUAUUUCAAAUAGGUUAAUACCUAAAGGGUAGAAGAUGUAGCGA